GUAGGGAGCAAGCGUUGUUCGGAAUUAUUGGGCGUAAAGAGCGCGUAGGCGGCUAGGCAAGUCCGGUGUGAAAUCCCACAGCUCAACUGUGGAACUGCAUUGGUAACUUCCUAGCUGGAGUGCGGGAGAGGAGAGUGGAAUUCCCAGUGUAGAGGUGAAAUUCGUAGAUAUUGGGAGGAACACCGGUGGCGAAGGCGGCUCUCUGGACCGCAACUGACGCUGAGGCGCGAAAGCUAGGGGAGCGAACGGGGGAUUAGAUACCCCGGUAGUCCUAGCCGUAAACGAUGGGCACUAGGUGUGGGAGGUAUCGACCCCCUUCUGUGCCGCAGCUAACGCAUUAAGUGCCCCCGCCUGGGGAGUACGGUCGCAAGACUA
rnacentral:rRNA from 1 species